CCGAAAAGAAUGAGAAAGGGGCCUCAGCUCUGGCCUUUUCUAAGCUGCGUUCGUACCCGGAGUCUGUUUUACUCCUUCCUUUGACAGCCCUGAUCUUCCUCCGUUUGAUUUACUGAGUGCUGUCAUUUCUCUGCUCUUUACUUUCCCAAUCACACAUUCAAACCCGAUAAAGGUCAAGACCCUGAAUGCCUCCAGCUCUCCCGGAUUUACCGGCUCUCAGCCCCCUGCCUCCCGGCUCAGCUCCAGGCUGAUUGAAUCCUCAUGGACACAAGGAAGAGUUGGCAGAGACUCCCCACGAGGGAGUGAGAGAGCAGGGAGACUCCUCCCUCCCGCCCCCAGGACGAAACAAUGACCAUCCAGGUCAAUGGCAGGGAAUUCGGGGAAAUCGUGCUAGGGCAACCCGAGGAAGCCACUGUCGGUAUCAUCUGGAUGUCAGUGCCGUCUUGGGGGAUGGUUCCCCACAGAGCUAGAGAUGAUUUGCCUGUGGCCACAUCCAGUUCCUCUAAAUGCCCCCGGGGAUUCAGUGGGCCCGAGGGAAUCCGGAAGAGAGGACUGGUCAGUCCCAAAUUAACUGGGCAUCUCUGUUGGUGGUAGCUGGCCGACACCACGUACACCUCCCUAGUGCUCCCGCCUGUUGCUCAGGACUUCUACCAUCGACCCAAGUGCACCUCCCUGCCCACUACACAGAUCAGGACUGUGAAUUCGUGAGGGGAAACCAUCGGUCUCCAAUCCCUGUGACCAAAGGCCCACUCGAAGAUGGCGGCCCAGAAGAAGAGUCCGUCAAUCAAUCGAUCAAUCGAGUCAGUGCAGAGCACUGGACUAAGCGCUUGGGAGAGUACAAUGCAACAGAGUUGGUAGGCAUGUUCCCUGCCCACAAUAAUAAAGAUAAUAAUAAUAAUAAUAGUGGUAUUUGUUAAGAGCUUAUUAUGUGCUAAGCACUGGGGUAGGUACAAAGUAAUCAGGUUGUCCCAAGUGGGGCUCAUAGUCUUAAUCCUCAUUUUACAGAUGAGGGAACUGAGGCACAGAGAAGUAAAGUGGCUUGUCCAAGGUCACACAGCAGACAAGUGGCGGAGUGGGGAUUAGAACCCACGUCCUCUGACUCCCAAGCUCGCGCUCUUGCCACUAAGCCACGCUGCUUCUCGAGGAGCUUACAGCCUAGAGGGGGAGGCAGAUAUUAAAAUAAAAUAUGGAUUUGCAUAAAAAGGGCUGUGGGGCUGAGGGUGGGAUGAAUAUCAAGUGUAUAGGAGACACAGAAGGAAGAGAGAGCAAAGGAAAUGAGGACUUAGUAGGGGAAGACCUCUUGGAGGAGGUGGGAUUUUAAUAACAUUUUGAAAGAGAGGAAUGUUGUUGUCUUUCGCGUAAGAAGCAGGGAAGCAGCACGGCCUAGACACGAGGCCACGGGCCUGUGAGCCAGGUCCUAGUCUUGUGGCUCCACCACUUGUCUGCUGUGUGAUCUUGGACAAGUCACUUCAUUUUCUCUGCCUCAGUUACCUCACUUGUCAAAUGGGGAUUGAGACCGUGAGCUCCACGUGGGACCAAGACUGUGUCCAAACCAAUUUGCUUGUAUCCACCCCAGUACUUAGUACAGGAUCGGGCACAUAGUAAGCACUUAACAAAUACCAUGAUUGCUAGUAUUAUUAUUAUUAUUAUGAAGGGGAAGGGAGGAUAGAGGAAAGGAGUUGGUAGCAGGAUAGAUGAAAUGGAGGUACAGUGAGAGGGUUGGCAUUAGAGGAGCGGACUGAGUUUCUCUCCUCUCUGCGGCUGGAGCCAACGCCAUCUUCCCCCAACCUCCUCCCUGCACCCGCUGACGGUCGUGGGCUUGAGGGUUUGGGGCACAGUGGAAGUUCUAAGCUUCUUGUUCUGCCCAGGCUGAGGGACUCCCGAAGAAAUCUGAGGAUGAAGUGGAGCUGAGAAAUCUCUCAGUCUCUAAUGGGCUCCUCAUUUCAGAAAUGACCAUUUUAGAAUCCUGGCCAGGACAACGGUUUUUCUUGUUUGGAGGCCUCCCUUGUCUGGCACCAAGGGAGCCACGUGGGUUUCUGGCCUUGAGUCUACCCAUCCCCACAAUGGGGGUAAGCGGAGGAUCUCCUCAAAGAACAGGGUGCCCACGAGGGGAAGGGGCCUGGAGGGAAGAUGCUCACACACACACAAGCCCGGUCAGAGCUGGACAUGGGCAGAGCACCAGAUGGGCCAGAAUUGGGAUCUGCAAUGAGCAGUGGUAUGAAUCGCUACCUGUUGGGGGUGAAGGUGGCAUCCCAUCAUUUCCCUGAGACCUUCAUCCUUUGGUUGUGAGGGACACUGUCAUCCCCUCCCCCAUUCCCUCUUUCCUCUUCUGUCGGUGGCCAGCACAGGGCCGGGAGCAGAGGAGAGAUGUGCUGGGAGCUGGUCAAGAUGGCAGAGUGGGGCCAAGAAUUCCCAUGUGGCGAGACCCUAAUGUGGAGGCAGGACCUCACCAGCCUUCUCUCCCACACAUUUCCCCAGCAUCCUUGUCCACCCAAGAUCUGGGGCAGGUGGCAGACAGUGGGAGGUGCCCUAAGUUGGUCCAGAGAUCUCUG
rnacentral:lncRNA from 1 species